rnacentral:ncRNA from 1 species
AGAAAAGCGAUGAAGAGCGGGAGUAGAUUGGCCGUCGUGUUUAGAGAGUUUCCGGUUGGUGAAAGGAAACCACGGUGGGUAAUUGAAAGUAGGCUCGGAGCUGUAGAUGCGAUCCCUGAGUGUUUACUGGAUGCCACCAUUACAAGGCCAACGACUACAAUUCAUUGAAUUGUGUUCGUUAAGAUCAGGUUGAAUUUGAUAAUUGAACUUGAUAAAUCAAGGUGGUACCGUGCAUCGAUAUUAAAAUGCGCCCUUCGA